rnacentral:rRNA from 1 species
CGAAGGGGCUAGCGUUGCUCGGAAUUACUGGGCGUAAAGGGAGCGUAGGCGGACAUUUAAGUCAGGGUGAAAUCCCGGGCUCAACCUCGGAAUUGCCUUUGAUACUGGGUGUCUUGAGUAUGAGAGAGGUGUGUGGAACUCCGAGUGUAGAGGUGAAAUUCGUAGAUAUUCGGAAGAACACCAGUGGCGAAGGCGACACACUGGCUCAUUACUGACGCUGAGGCUCGAAAGCGUGGGGAGCAAACAGGAUUAGAUACCCUGGUAGUCCACGCCGUAAACGAUGAUUGCUAGUUGUCGGGAUGCAUGCAUUUCGGUGACGCAGCUAACGCAUUAAGCAAUCCGCCUGGGGAGUACGGUCGCAAGAUUA